CUGCUUGAGGGUGGCGGGCUUGAGGCGGGCAGGCUGCUUAGUUGCGGCCCGAGGCGCCUAAGUGGGGAUGACCAACCCGUGGGCGUUGGCGCUGACCCCUAGGCGCCGCUGGUGGCCCCGCGCGCGGCCCUCCGGCCAGCCCCGCCCCUCUCGGGGCUCCUCCUUGGUCCCCGCGCCAUGGCGCGUCCGCGUUGACCACUGUCUUCCCUUUCGGGCUGUGCUGAUCGCGAACGCUGCGCAGUCCGUGGUGGCGUCGAGGCACCUUUCUCGUGCCUUUACCUGUGUUCACUCCUUUGCUUUAAAAAAACAGCCCUAGAAGUACACAUCGUUGGCCCCGAAGGAGCCCCAGCAGCCAUGUCGGACCGCGAGACUGGCCGACACUUAGGGAAAAUAGAAAGAACCUACGUUGAAAUAUUGGGGAUGCGUUCCCCCGAUAGUGCUGGGAGGGCAGCACGCCUGCAGUGGACACAGAAGCUCUGAGCCCCAUACCUGUCCUACUCACCUCUUCCAUUUGGCUGUUCCUUUGUUGUACCCUGUAUAAUAAACUGGUAAUCCCAAGAAUAGUA